rnacentral:lncRNA from 1 species
CCCGAAACCACCAGCCCAAGGUUCUCACGGAUCCAGUCAUCUCUCGUCUCCACGGAGGCCCACAGAACCAUGAGGACCCCUUUAAAAAGCUGCUGCUGGGGGGAGGCAGUGGCUGGGCACGCGAGGGGCAGGCGCCCGGGAGGCGCCCUAGUCCCAACCCCAAAGCGCCGAGGGACCCUGUGGGACUCAGGUCCGCCCUGGCCGCCCUCAAAGGCAGCAGCCUGAACCACCACGACCGGGUCAGCAGGGCACCUCGAGCGCGGCCAGGGGCGUCCUGGCGGAGCGGACACGGCGGGCAGGGCGCUGGGGCUGCGUGACCGCGGGCGCGGGAACCCGGCCAGGAGCCCGGAGUCGGCCCCGGGAGUGGGGGCCCGCGGGGGUCGCGCGGCAGGAACGAAGGUCUCCCAGCCAGGCCCGUGGGGGUCGCAGGUCGUUGGCUCUCCAUCCAGGCACCAGUCCCGGGGACUUACCUGCGCUCUGCGCUGGCAGCCAGAGCAGCGUGCGGUCCAGCCCCAGAAAUCCGGGCCUCCCACUCCCACGGCGCUACCUCCGCUGGCCCAGCAACGCCUCACGCGGACACCAGGCUGCCACGCCGACCGCCGCCACCGGCCCCGACGCUCGCCGCGAACUGGAGCACAGGCGGCCGGGCUCCUCGGCUCGGAGCGCGACCCUGCGCACGGAGCAUGCGCACACGCCCAACACCGAGGGCCGGGCGGGCCCGUGACACCUGCGAUCAACAGGUCCCGCCAGCCCCGCCCCUCGCCCCGCCCCGCCAGCCCCGCCCCCGAGCUGGCCCCGCCCCGCGCGCGACUUCCCGGGUUCUGGACCUGCCGAGCUGUGUUCCCGCGGGGGUUCCGUGGGGCGCGCGAGCCAGUUGACUUGCUCUGCGGCGCGAGAUCCCGCGAGAGCAGGAGCUCGAGUAUUUCCCCGAAGGCGGGAGCGGAGCGCGGGUUUAGCUUGGAGCAAGGUGUCUGCAGUAUUUAUCGGUGGACCCAAAUUCAUGAAGAAUGAUCUCUGCACCCUCACGCUGACCUGAGAUCAUGAGAGGGAACAGGCUUGGAGCACCAAAUGCCAGCUUAGAUUGAUCAGCUGUGGCCUGGCCAGAGGUAGGUUACACCACCUGCACCACCACGCUCACCCACCUCUUACCAUUAUUCUGGUGAUUAGAACUCCAUCCUUGGGAAACACACUGCCU